UACGAAGGGUGCAAACGUUGCUCGGAAUUACUGGGCGUAAAGCGUGCGCAGGCGGUUUGGUAAGACAGAUGUGAAAUCCCCGGGCUUAACCUGGGAAUUGCAUUUGUGACUGCCCGGCUAGAGUGUGUCAGAGGGGGGUAGAAUUCCACGUGUAGCAGUGAAAUGCGUAGAUAUGUGGAGGAAUACCGAUGGCGAAGGCAGCCCCCUGGGAUAACACUGACGCUCAUGCACGAAAGCGUGGGGAGCAAACAGG
rnacentral:rRNA from 1 species